AUGGCCUCGUUCCAUCUGGAUCAUCUAAAGAACUACCACAGAAGAUUUUGCCAACCUUCCAGAGCACCCAACAUUCAUACAAAGGAAGGCCAGAACAUGCUGGAAAUCUUACAAGAUUGUUUUGAAGAUCAGAGUGAGACUUCAUUUCUUGAUGAUUUUACAGAGUCAUUGACUUCUUCAACACAAAAAAAACACAGCCAAUUAUAGUCAAUCAUCAAGCAAAAAGUGCCCAGCAUCACAUUCAAAACCAGUUCAGGUGUCUUAAGGACAGGAGAAGCUUCUCUGCAAGCCUCUGCAGAGCGAGUGAAGCCGCUGGUGGAUCAGUUCAGGCUAAUGAAGUUCACCGUGGUGUGUCUGAUGAAUUGGACUUAUCUGUUGGCUCCCCUGUGGUUCACCUGGAUGCAAACGUGGUGGCGCUUCAGAAAGCUAUUUCAUCUGCUGGUCAAAAGAGAGUGGCUUCUGUCUCAAGGAGUCCAGUAGAUAAGCAGGCUUCAAAUACAAACAUUUCUUUUAAAACCAGGAAAAGGUUAAACUUUGAAGAUAAAGUUAUUUUGAGCACAGCAGAAACAGAGAACAGUGUGUUACAAGUAGAGGAUAACUUAUCCAAGGGACAAGAAGGGACAUCAUCAGAAAUCACUCAGAAAAGAGAUGAUCUGAGUUCUGAAGUCCAAUCACGUGCUAAGAAGAAUUUUUCAGUGUUGUUUUUAGAGACUGUCAAGCAGAAAGUAAAUCCAGUUCUGUGGUCAGGCACACAGCAGCAGUUCCAGCUUCUCCGCCUCCUCCAAGUGACAUGAAAUUAUUAGAAGAUGAAUUUAUUAUUGAUGGGUCAGAUAGAAGUUUUUCAAGUUGACUUUGGGUGAUGAUAGCAAGGAAAGACAGGCAUCUGAGCCCCCACAAGCCAUCUCCUGAAAACACUGCACUGCUUCAAGGUAGGAAGUCAAGAGAGAAAUCUCAUAGUUUAUCUGCAACAACUUUUGUAAGAAACACACAGUGUGAUUAGGCUCACCCAAUAGGGGAAGCUCAGCUCUCUGUUGAAGAAACCUGGGAACUACUUAGACAGAUGAGUUGGAAAAUGAUUGUAGGUCUCCAGAAAAUAAAAUGCAAUCUGAGACUGCCAAAAAACCCACCUGCGUGGGAAAGGACUACAAAACAGAACCAAAGCAGAGUGUCUAAGCCUAAAGCAGCUGAAGAACUCAGUAAGGGACAGAGUAGCUGUGAAAAUAUCAAUGUGUCAAACACUGGCCAAGACAAGUUACGAAUCAAUUCAAAAAGAAAUACGAAGGACUGUGAAGAGGUGAGGAAUGAGCCUACUCCAAGAAACAGAGCCAGCUCUUGAAAAUAAGAAAAACAACAAAAGCACCCAAACCAGUAAGGGAAAAUCUGGAAAGGAAUUUUUUCUGGUGGGUCCAAGAACAAAUUUUUUUCCCAAAGAAGUAACUUUGACUUCCAGGAGAAAUUGUAGAAUUUCUCAGCAUCCAUCUGACUGGUGGAAUGUAAAAUCAGAUGAAAGUUCUGGGGAUGGAAAUUCUUCACAAGAAAAUGACUCAUCAGUGGUAUAUCCCAAUAGAAAAAAAAACAGACUAAGAGAAAUCAUGUAUCUAAGAGGACUGGGAAGAAACCUGGUCCAUCAAAAAGACAGAAGACAGACCUGAGCUCAAGAGUACAGAAGUCUUUAAAUGGAAAGGGUUCUGAAGCAACUGUUAGUGACCAUGAUGACACUUCUCGUUCCCAGAGGAAGCCAUUGAAAAACAUUGAGGCAGACCCAACUCAGAAGAGCCUUGCUAUUUCUCGACCCGAAAGAGGCUGUAAGUAUCAAAACAAUGUUACGGCAUCACAGAAUGUUCAUUUAAAGUCUCAUACUGAGGAAUAUACAAGCAAGACACAAAUGGAGUCUGCUUUAAAUUCGGAAGUGUCUAAACGUUCAGUGUGGGAAGAAAGUGGACCUUCCAGGUUCAAGAAUUAUGAAAUGCCAGGAAGCAGUAAUUCUGAGAUGGGUGAUGAACAGGACCAGAAGAGUUUGCAUUUUAAAACAAGAAGUUCUAAUAUGUUACCAGAUAAAAAAUUACAUCACAAAUUAGUACUGCCCUCCAACUUACCAAAUGUUCAUCGAUCUAAUAGAAUAAGUUUGAAACCUCUGGAGUAUUGGCGAGGGGAACGGGUAGAUUAUCAAGAAAGCUCGUUGGGACAACGUGUGCUUGAAAUAGUAUCCCCAGGUUCAGUACCCAUCAAAAUAAAGGCACAAAGAAACCUCAGCAAAGUCAACAAAAAAGUUACCAAGAAACAGACCCAUCUCAAUACCCGUGAAGAGACUAAGAUGGAGUUGCCUCUGGGUAUACCUCUGGGAGAUCCCUUUCAGGCAACACUGGCAAAGGACCCAGAAACAAGAGAGGCUGUCCCCACGGAUCUUAUAAGACCACAAGGUACAUACUGCUUUUUUGUUGAGCAACAUGGUUUGAAAGUUUUUAAAACAUUGGAUACAAUAUUUUUUUCUACUGGAAAACUGGUUUUAGGACCCUAUGGAGAGAAAGGAAAACAGCAUGUUGGCCAAGAUAUAUUGGUUUUUUUAUGUUAACUUUGGUAACCUUUUAUGUACAUUACAUGAAACACCUUAUAAGAUAACUACUGGGGAUUCAUUCUAUGUUCCUUCAGGUAAUCAUUACAACAUUAAAAACCUCUUGAAUGUGAAA
rnacentral:lncRNA from 1 species